UACGUAGGGUGUAAGCGUUGUCCGGAAUUAUUGGGCGUAAAGAGCUCGUAGGCGGUCUGUCGCGUCGGUCGUGAAAACUUGGGGCUUAACCCCGAGCUUGCGGUCGAUACGGGCAUGACUGGAGUUCGGUAGGGGAGACUGGAAUUCCUGGUGUAGCGGUGAAAUGCGCAGAUAUCAGGAGGAACACCGGUGGCGAAGGCGGGUCUCUGGGCCGAUACUGACGCUGAGGAGCGAAAGCGUGGGGAGCGAACAGG
rnacentral:rRNA from 1 species